rnacentral:rRNA from 1 species
GACGAACGCUGGCGGCGCGCCUAACACAUGCAAGUCGAACGGAGUUUGAGAGAGCUUGCUUUUUCAAACUUAGUGGCGAACGGGUGAGUAACGCGUGAGUAACCUGCCCUGGAGUGGGGGACAACAGUUGGAAACGACUGCUAAUACCGCAUAAGCCCACGGCCCGGCAUCGGGUUGAGGGAAAAGGAUUUAUUCGCUUCAGGAUGGACUCGCGUCCAAUUAGCUAGUUGGUGAGGUAAUGGCUCACCAAGGCAUCGAUGGGUAGGGGUUCUGAGAGGAAGGUCCCCCACAUUGGGACUGAGACACGGCCCAA